UCUCACCCUUUGUGCGUCACCGCGUGGGCACCCCUUUGNGAGCNUCUCGGAGGGGGNUCGNGUUUUCACACAAAACCCCCCUUUUAAAAGNGNAGAAUGACCUCAUUUAUGCGUUAACCCGCAAUCACUACAACUUUCAACAACGGAUCUCUUGGCUCUCGCAUCGAUGAAGAACGCAGCGAAAUGCGAUACGUAAUGUGAAUUGCCGAAUUCAGUGAAUCAUCGAAUCUUUGAACGCACCUUGCGCCCCCUGGUAUUCCGAGGGGCACACCCGUUUGAGUGUCGNGAAAACCUCAACCUCCUUGGUUUCUUCUGGAGACCAAAGCAGGCUUGGACUUUGGAGGCCUUUGCUGGCACCUCUCGCCAGCUCCUCUUAAAUGAAUUAGCAGGGUCCUCUUUGCUGAUCCUCGACGUGUGAUAAGAUGUUUCCAUGUCUUGGUUUCUGGCUCUGUCACCUUUGGGACCCGCUUCUAACCGUCUUCAACCUUGCGUUGAGACAACGUUCGAGCAUGUCUCCCUUCUCGGGAAGCUCCCUCGACCCCACGAACCCUUGA
rnacentral:rRNA from 1 species